rnacentral:tRNA from 1 species
UGUCCAGGGAUGGGAAUCGAACCCACAGUGUUCCGCUUACCGGGCAGAUGCCAUGUCCACUAGGCUACCCAGGAC